AGCGAACGCUGGCGGCAGGCCUAACACAUGCAAGUCGAACGAACUCUUCGGAGUUAGUGGCGGACGGGUGAGUAACACGUGGGAACGUGCCUUUAGGUUCGGAAUAACUCAGGGAAACUUGUGCUAAUACCGAAUGUGCCCUUCGGGGGAAAGAUUUAUCGCCUUUAGAGCGGCCCGCGUCUGAUUAGCUAGUUGGUGAGGUAAAGGCUCACCAAGGCGACGAUCAGUAGCUGGUCUGAGAGGAUGAUCAGCCACAUUGGGACUGAGACACGGCCCAAACUCCUACGGGAGGCAGCAGUGGGGAAUCCUGCGGAAUGGGCGAAAGCCUGACGCAGCCAUGCCGCGUGAAUGAUGAAGGUCUUAGGAUUGUAAAAUUCUUUCACCGGGGACGAUAAUGACGGUACCCGGAGAAGAAGCCCCGGCUAACUUCGUG
rnacentral:rRNA from 1 species